UACGGGGGGGGGCAAGCGUUGUUCGGAAUUACUGGGCGUAAAGGGCGCGUAGGCGGCCUUCUAAGUCGAACGUGAAAUCCCUGGGCUCAACCCAGGAACUGCGUCCGAUACUGAAAGGCUUGAAUCCGGGAGAGGGAUGCGGAAUUCCAGGUGUAGCGGUGAAAUGCGUAGAUAUCUGGAGGAACACCGGUGGCGAAGGCGGCAUCCUGGACCGGUAUUGACGCUGAGGCGCGAAAGCCAGGGGAGCAAACGGG
rnacentral:rRNA from 1 species